CCUACGGGUGGCAGCAGUGAGGAAUAUUGGUCAAUGGACGAGAGUCUGAACCAGCAAAGUAGCGUGAAGGAUGACUGACCUAUGGGUUGUAAACUUCUUUUAUAAAGGAAUAAAACGAGGCACGUGUGCCUUUUUGCAUGUACUUUAUGAAUAAGGAUCGGCUAAUUCCGUGCAAGCAGCAGCGGUAAUACGGAGGAUCCGAGGGUUAUCCGGAUUUAUUGGGGUUAAAGGUAUCGUAGAUGGGUUGGUAAGUCAGUUGUGAAAGUUUGCGGCUCAACCGUAAAAUUGCAAUUGAUACUGGCAGUCUUGAGUACAGUUGAGGUAAGCGGAAUUCGUGGUGUAGCGGUGAAAUGCUUAGAUAUCACGAAGAACCCCGAUUGCGAAGGCAGCUUACUAAACUGUGACUGACAUUGAUGCUCGAAAGUGUGGGUAUCAAACAGGAUUAGAUACCCGAGUAGUC
rnacentral:rRNA from 1 species